rnacentral:sRNA from 1 species
ACAGAUAGGAGUUGUGAAACUCCGCAAUAGAAUAGUUUAGUUAAGUCUAGUUUAGUUUUUGUGUUAGUAUCCUCCUUCCGGUAGCGUCCGGGUAAGGAGGAUAUUUUUU